UUUGGAAAAGUAAUAUAAUUUCAACCAUCAUUACACAAAUUCAACAAACAGGAAAUUACAUUCUCAUUCAACAUAUUCAAAAACACAUACUACUAAUACUUACUAACUGGCAAUAACAUCUAUUUUCUCAAGAACACAAUCUACAAGCCAGUUUCCAACCACAACAAAAGGCCCCAUGGAACUUAGCUCACUAGUCUCCGCGCAUACGGAUGAUGCACGACGAGCUUAAAUACCAACGAUAUAUUUAUAUAUCAUCACGAAAGGCGUUAAAGCACGAAAGCCUAAAUACAUAUUGGUAGUUGGUACUAUUCAUCAUUCAAGACUUAUUCAUAGAAGUGGCCUUCUCAUUUUCUUGAUUGUAAGCAUGGUUCAUCAUGCGUCAUGGUUUGGUCGCACAUAUCUGGGGGAAGAGUACGCGGAUAGUGCUGAUCCUGUCGCGUUCAAUGAACGUUUGGCAAGACUUGCACUUUUCUUUGUUGCUAGCCAUAUAGUCCAGAAGAACCCAAUCCAACCUGUAGCCACAAUCACAGCAAAAAUUGCUACAAUUGUCGUAGUGGAAACGACAAAUACAGCAACUGAUAGAGCCCCAAUAUAAAUUGCAGUUAGGCAGCCAAAGAAAAGAGCCAAGAAUCCUCCUGCAGCUGCUAACGACAUGAGAAGAGAGAUAAUAAUGGCGUUGACAGUUGCCGCGACUAAGAAGACCAUAAAGACUAGCAAUCCUGUCAAAGCAAGAAGAGCAAUUGUCCCCACAGAAGCAACAAGAAGGGCACGUAGAGGGCUUCCUUUACGAGUCCAAUUGUAUACAUGAUGAGCAGUAUUUUUUGAAGCUUGAUGAAGCAAAGGAACAUUCUCAGAAACACACCCUUUAAUCCUCUGAGUUAAUUGACCAUUAUUAUUACUAUCAGAAGAAAAAAUUGCUGACACAAAACGAUUGAAAAUAUCAACAAGAGUAACCCCUUCUUCUUCUUCUUUUUCUUGAUUCACCCCUUUUGAUGAUUUCUUGAAAUUUGUUGAAUCUAUAGUUUCACCAUCAUCAAAUUUCUCUUGAAAUUCUCCAUUAGACUUUUCAGUAGUGUUUGCCAUGGCUUAAGGGAUUGAAUAUCUCAAAAACUG
rnacentral:misc_RNA from 1 species